rnacentral:misc_RNA from 1 species
UUUCCGUAGGUGAACCUGCGGAAGGAUCAUUAUCGAAUUUCGAGGGGAAGGAAGAUGAGGAGUGGAGACUGUCGCUGGCUUUCCCGCCUGGGAAGCAUGUGCACGCCUUGCUUUUCGUUGACCUUUCUCUUACUCUCACACCUGUGCACCCAUUGUAGGUCCUCGAAAGAGGAUCUAUGUUUUUAUCAUCACACGCAUCGUAUGUCCAUAGAAUGUAACAUGAUCGUCGAUCGACCUCGCGGUCGGGUGGCGGUCUAAAUAAAUCAAUACAACUUUCAACAACGGAUCUCUUGGCUCUC